UGCAUCUGCAGUUGAAAUUUAAUAUUCAAUAUAAAACCAAUAAAAUGAGAGCUGUAUUCGCAUUUGUUUUUAUGACAGUGGCAUUACUUUUGGUCAUCGAUCAAUAUAGUUGUCAUUCAAACACCGACGUAUCGUGUCCAGAUAUAUAUGAAGGAAGACCCGUUCAAUGCUAUUUCUACGAACUUCAUCGUGGUGAUAACUGCGGUACUCGCAUCUACACUCAAUUUCCUUAUCAGCAGAGAACAUGCUACUGCUGCUGGAAAGACUAAAUACGCUGAAAUAUCUUCAAUCAAUUGAGUUCAAGAUGAAACUAUCCAAAAAAA